rnacentral:rRNA from 1 species
UUAAGCGACUAAGCGUACACGGUGGAUGCCCUGGCAGUCAGAGGCGAUGAAGGGCGUGCUAAUCUGCGAUAAGCGCCGGUAAGGUGAUAUGAACCGUUAUAACCGGCGAUACCCGAAUGGGGAAACCCAGUGUGACUCGUCACACUAUCAUUAACUGAAUCCAUAGGUUAAUGAGGCGAACCGGGGGAACUGAAACAUCUAAGUACCCCGAGGAAAAGAAAUCAACCGAGAUUCCCCCAGUAGCGGCGAGCGAACGGGGAGGAGCCCAGAGCCUGAAUCAGCAUGUGUGUUAGUGGAAGCGUCUGGAAAGGCGCGCGAUACAGGGUGACAGCCCCGUACACAAAAGCGCAUGUGCUGUGAGCUCGAUGAGUAGGGCGGGACACGUGGUAUCCUGUCUGAAUAUGGGGGGACCAUCCUCCAAGGCUAAAUACUCCUGACUGACCGAUAGUGAACCAGUACCGUGAGGGAAAGGCGAAAAGAACCCCGGCGAGGGGAGUGAAAAAGAACCUGAAACCGUGUACGUACAAGCAGUGGGAGCCCCACCACCAAAGCGUUUCGCUUUGUGUGGUGCACAAAGAAGCGUAACGACAGCACUGAAUGACGGUUAACGGAGCGCAAGCGACGUUCAACAUACAAAGUCAAGCAGUGGAGCGCUUUGGGGUGGGGUGACUGCGUACCUUUUGUAUAAUGGGUCAGCGACUUAUAUUCUGUAGCAAGGUUAACCGAAUAGGGGAGCCGGAGGGAAACCGAGUCUUAACCGGGCGUUAAGUUGCAGGGUAUAGACCCGAAACCCGGUGAUCUAGCCAUGGGCAGGUUGAAGGUUGGGUAACACUAACUGGAGGACCGAACCGACUAAUGUUGAAAAAUUAGCGGAUGACCUGUGGCUGGGGGUGAAAGGCCAAUCAAACCGGGAGAUAGCUGGUUCUCCCCGAAAGCUAUUUAGGUAGCGCCUCGUGAAUUCAUCUCCGGGGGUAGAGCACUGUUUCGGCUAGGGGGCCAUCCCGGCUUACCAACCCGAUGCAAACUGCGAAUACCGGAGAAUGUUAUCACGGGAGACACACGGCGGGUGCUAACGUCCGUCGUGAAGAGGGAAACAACCCAGACCGCCAGCUAAGGUCCCAAAGUCAUGGUUAAGUGGGAAACGAUGUGGGAAGGCCCAGACAGCCAGGAUGUUGGCUUAGAAGCAGCCAUCAUUUAAAGAAAGCGUAAUAGCUCACUGGUCGAGUCGGCCUGCGCGGAAGAUGUAACGGGGCUAAACCAUGCACCGAAGCUGCGGCAGCGACGCUUAUGCGUUGUUGGGUAGGGGAGCGUUCUGUAAGCCUGUGAAGGUGGCCUGUGAGGGUUGCUGGAGGUAUCAGAAGUGCGAAUGCUGACAUAAGUAACGAUAAAGCGGGUGAAAAGCCCGCUCGCCGGAAGACCAAGGGUUCCUGUCCAACGUUAAUCGGGGCAGGGUGAGUCGACCCCUAAGGCGAGGCCGAAAGGCGUAGUCGAUGGGAAACGGGUUAAUAUUCCCGUACUUGGUGUUACUGCGAAGGGGGGACGGAGAAGGCUAUGUUGGCCGGGCGACGGUUGUCCCGGUUUAAGCGUGUAGGUGUGUGUUCCAGGUAAAUCCGGUUCACUUUAACACUGAGGCGUGACGACGAGGCACUACGGUGCUGAAGCAACAAAUGCCCUGCUUCCAGGAAAAGCCUCUAAGCAUCAGGUAACAUCAAAUCGUACCCCAAACCGACACAGGUGGUCAGGUAGAGAAUACCAAGGCGCUUGAGAGAACUCGGGUGAAGGAACUAGGCAAAAUGGUGCCGUAACUUCGGGAGAAGGCACGCUGACACGUAGGUGAAGUGAUUUACUCAUGGAGCUGAAGUCAGUCGAAGAUACCAGCUGGCUGCAACUGUUUAUUAAAAACACAGCACUGUGCAAACACGAAAGUGGACGUAUACGGUGUGACGCCUGCCCGGUGCCGGAAGGUUAAUUGAUGGGGUCAGCGCAAGCGAAGCUCCUGAUCGAAGCCCCGGUAAACGGCGGCCGUAACUAUAACGGUCCUAAGGUAGCGAAAUUCCUUGUCGGGUAAGUUCCGACCUGCACGAAUGGCGUAAUGAUGGCCAGGCUGUCUCCACCCGAGACUCAGUGAAAUUGAACUCGCUGUGAAGAUGCAGUGUACCCGCGGCAAGACGGAAAGACCCCGUGAACCUUUACUAUAGCUUGACACUGAACAUUGAGCCUUGAUGUGUAGGAUAGGUGGGAGGCUUUGAAGCGUGGACGCCAGUCUGCGUGGAGCCGACCUUGAAAUACCACCCUUUAAUGUUUGAUGUUCUAACGUGGACCCGUAAUCCGGGUUGCGGACAGUGUCUGGUGGGUAGUUUGACUGGGGCGGUCUCCUCCUAAAGAGUAACGGAGGAGCACGAAGGUUGGCUAAUCCUGGUCGGACAUCAGGAGGUUAGUGCAAUGGCAUAAGCCAGCUUGACUGCGAGCGUGACGGCGCGAGCAGGUGCGAAAGCAGGUCAUAGUGAUCCGGUGGUUCUGAAUGGAAGGGCCAUCGCUCAACGGAUAAAAGGUACUCCGGGGAUAACAGGCUGAUACCGCCCAAGAGUUCAUAUCGACGGCGGUGUUUGGCACCUCGAUGUCGGCUCAUCACAUCCUGGGGCUGAAGUAGGUCCCAAGGGUAUGGCUGUUCGCCAUUUAAAGUGGUACGCGAGCUGGGUUUAGAACGUCGUGAGACAGUUCGGUCCCUAUCUGCCGUGGGCGCUGGAGAACUGAGGGGGGCUGCUCCUAGUACGAGAGGACCGGAGUGGACGCAUCACUGGUGUUCGGGUUGUCAUGCCAAUGGCACUGCCCGGUAGCUAAAUGCGGAAGAGAUAAGUGCUGAAAGCAUCUAAGCACGAAACUUGCCCCGAGAUGAGUUCUCCCUGAGACUUAGAGUCUCCUGAAGGAACGUUGAAGACGACGACGUUGAUAGGCCGGGUGUGUAAGCGCAGCGAUGCGUUGAGCUAACCGGUACUAAUGAACCGUGAGGCUUAACCUU